rnacentral:rRNA from 1 species
GAUGAACGCUGGCGGCGUGCCUAAUACAUGCAAGUCGAGCGAACGGACGAGAAGCUUGCUUCUCUGAUGUUAGCGGCGGACGGGUGAGUAACACGUGGAUAACCUACCUAUAAGACUGGGAUAACUUCGGGAAACCGGAGCUAAUACCGGAUAAUAUUUUGAACCGCAUGGUUCAAAAGUGAAAGACGGUCUUGCUGUCACUUAUAGAUGGAUCCGCGCUGCAUUAGCUAGUUGGUAAGGUAACGGCUUACCAAGGCAACGAUGCAUAGCCGACCUGAGAGGGUGAUCGGCCACACUGGAACUGAGACACGGUCCAGACUCCUACGGGAGGCAGCAGUAGGGAAUCUUCCGCAAUGGGCGAAAGCCUGACGGAGCAACGCCGCGUGAGUGAUGAAGGUCUUCGGAUCGUAAAACUCUGUUAUUAGGGAAGAACAUAUGUGUAAGUAACUGUGCACAUCUUGACGGUACCUAAUCAGAAAGCCACGGCUAACUACGUGCCAGCAGCCGCGGUAAUACGUAGGUGGCAAGCGUUAUCCGGAAUUAUUGGGCGUAAAGCGCGCGUAGGCGGUUUUUUAAGUCUGAUGUGAAAGCCCACGGCUCAACCGUGGAGGGUCAUUGGAAACUGGAAAACUUGAGUGCAGAAGAGGAAAGUGGAAUUCCAUGUGUAGCGGUGAAAUGCGCAGAGAUAUGGAGGAACACCAGUGGCGAAGGCGACUUUCUGGUCUGUAACUGACGCUGAUGUGCGAAAGCGUGGGGAUCAAACAGGAUUAGAUACCCUGGUAGUCCACGCCGUAAACGAUGAGUGCUAAGUGUUAGGGGGUUUCCGCCCCUUAGUGCUGCAGCUAACGCAUUAAGCACUCCGCCUGGGGAGUACGACCGCAAGGUUGAAACUCAAAGGAAUUGACGGGGACCCGCACAAGCGGUGGAGUAUGUGGUUUAAUUCGAAGCAACGCGAAGAACCUUACCAAAUCUUGACAUCCUUUGACAACUCUAGAGAUAGAGCCUUCCCCUUCGGGGGACAAAGUGACAGGUGGUGCAUGGUUGUCGUCAGCUCGUGUCGUGAGAUGUUGGGUUAAGUCCCGCAACGAGCGCAGCCCUUAAGCUUAGUUGCCAUCAUUAAGUUGGGCACCCUAAGUUGACUGCCGGUGACAAACCGGAGGAAGGUGGGGAUGACGUCAAAUCAUCAUGCCCCUUAUGAUUUGGGCUACACACGUGCUACAAUGGACAAUACAAAGGGCAGCGAAACCGCGAGGUCAAGCAAAUCCCAUAAAGUUGUUCUCAGUUCGGAUUGUAGUCUGCAACUCGACUACAUGAAGCUGGAAUCGCUAGUAAUCGUAGAUCAGCAUGCUACGGUGAAUACGUUCCCGGGUCU